UAAGCGGGAAGCCUGCUUCGAGAUGAGUAUUCCCACCUCCUUGAGAGGGUAAGGCUCCCAGUAGACGACUGGGUUGAUAGGCCGGAUAUGGAAGCCCUGUAAGGGGUGGAGUUGACCGGUACUAAUAGGCCGAGGGCUUGUCCU
rnacentral:rRNA from 1 species